CGAUACUCCGAAGAGUGCGGCCUGUCCGCACGCCGAAGGUGCAACCCGCUCCGGCGGGGAAUCUCUCAGGUACAAAGACGGAGGCGCA
rnacentral:ncRNA from 1 species